rnacentral:lncRNA from 1 species
CCAGGAGAAGUGCAGGCGAGCUGAGCUCAGGCCGCUGCUCUCCGCCUCUUCCCGAGAUGAGCCGCUGAUGGAGCGCCUGAUCAGAGCUAGCUCUGGCUGAGCCUUUGGUUCUGGGUAGCCUGGUCCCCAGAGAGGAAGAGACCUUUGCCCAGCAGAGCUCUGCUGGGCCCUGCCAGUUCCCCUCACCCCACCAUGCCUCUGUUGGACGUGUUUUGGGCUUGCUUCAGGAAAGUGAAGUGCUUCCCAUUGCUUCAAGGGAGGAAGAAUGCCGGCUGCUGCUGCAAGGGACUGUUGCCUGCACGCCAACCCCACCAGUGAGCAAAAGGGAAACUCCUGUCCUUGGAUGAAGCUGAACAAGCUGAACAAGGCCUCCUUUUCCUCAGAAGGGACCUUGCCUUUGUGGCAGGCUCUGUAUAGGGGCUCCAGAAACUCAGAAGUCAAAGGCUUGGCAGCACCAAGCUAGCCACAGAUGGGGCCCUCCUGAUGGCUGUUUUUCCAGAACGGGGAUUCCUAAUAGGCCAGUGGGUGCUGGGAGAGAAAAGUGGGCUCCUUACUGAUUUGUGAUCAUACAAGGGAUAAACAAGAACUCCACAGGCAGAAUGGAAGUAGACAGGAGAUGUUUCAAUUCUGAAAUGAAUUCACUGUGUGACCUUGGGCAAGUUCUCUUCCCCAUGUGAAGAAUAUAUUCAUUCAAUAAAUAUUUGUGAACACCUACUGUUGUGCCA